CUGUGCUGGGUAACCGCAGCUCUUGGCUCUGCUCUGGAGCCAUGACCCUUUUCCUUUCCCCUGCGCGAUUCCGUCCUUUCACGUUCGUUUCUUUACCCGCUGCGUUUCCUAAAAGAAAACCCGUGCGUUUCUAGCUGCCCGCCUCCGUUUGCACUGUGCAUCCCUGAGACACAGCCAGCGUGAAUCCAUUACGCCUCGAUCCCAUGACACGGGUUUAUGCGGAUACCCUCUGAUUUACAUUUUAAACACCGCAAAUGCACUGUCUGCUAGCAUGAGAAGAAAACCCAGCGUGUAACUUCAAACGACCUUCAAGGAAAUGCAAUUAACUGCUCUAAUUAUCAGUACACGCCUUGUCGAAAAAGACACAGGUGCUCGCUGCAACGGUUCCACCUGGUUAAGCAGAAUCGUCCUACCAGUGGACGGACUCUUUCUCCCUUAAUCUGGGACUUGCUACGAUGCCUCUACAUUUAGAAACCUCCUCACUUCCUCCAUCCUCCUCUCCUCUCCUCCCCCUUGGCUGAGGCAGGAGAGCGAUCGCUCACGGCUGCUAGGCUUUGUCACACGAACACACACACACACAGACCACAUUGCUCGCUGCUGCCUGGGAGAGAUGCAUCGUGUUUAUUUCCCGGUUCCCACAAAGCAGUCACCUUCUGACGCGUCUCUUCCCCUGCUCCCCCCACCUCCACUUCUCUUCCUGCAGACUGAAGGGAAGGACCGUAGGCCACAAUGAUAAUAGAACAUUUAGGUUAAUAGGGCGUGUUCUGAUCCGAUUUCCCCCUCCGCCCGCCCUCCUGUCCCUAACGACAUCGAUCUGCUACAUUUACUUCUGCCUUUAUCGGCCCCCGGGCAGCCCCGCCAGGGCUCUGAGUCACUGUCUGAGCUACCGGAUCUAAUACAGAUGCUGGAAUAACCGAGCCAGUAGCAACCACUAGCCUCCAGCCCGGUUACAAAGGAGCGAAUCUUUGUCCACAAGUGGUGCGCUUCAGACAGUUGAACGUGCAGUGUCAUAAUGGCUCCUAUUGCUGGUAGACAAGGGAGGUGCUCUCGACACAUGCAGCUAUGGCAGGAGAGAUGGGACCGAGAAGAUAAGGACAACCCGGGCUUCCUAACGGUCCACUAGGAGGCGCUGCAGACGCCCCGUUGCCUUUUGCAAGAGGAUGGAGUCAUUUGGGAUUCGGUGGCUUCUCAUCUCAUUACAGGGCAUUAGGAGAAACAGGCAAAUAUACAGCUAUUAAAAUUAAUCGCCUUGCGCCGUCAGAUGAACAUAAUAGAAAUUAUUUAUAGGCUGCCUACAAUGCGUUUAUCGUCAUGGAGGCUAGAGGUGCUGGGUGCGGGUGAACAGAGAAAAAUAUGCGCAGGCUACAAUAAAGGACAGCUGUACGGAUCUGCGCUAGAUCUUAAGGGAGCGCUGGAAAGUAAUGAGACCAGAGAGACUAACAGGAGCCCUUGUGGGAGAUACCUCAGCUGGGUUAGUGACAAAGGACUUAGCUUGUACUGGCUACAAGUCCAACUUUAAGCUUAGAGUCCAAACACUGCAGAUCAGCAAAGGUUGUGAGUAUGUGACCUCAACCGGUUAGGCGAAGAGUAAACUGCAGACAUUUUUCAGAUGAUUAUACGUAGAGCUACAUAAGCAAAUAUAAAACCUAGGCUUUGUGCUAAGUGGUCUCAAAUAUCCACUCUAGUGGAUUUCUCUAGCAGGCAAAGUCCAGGCUUGCUGGUGUGCAGCAAUGCAGAAACUAGGAUACUUUAAGCAUCUAAGAAACAAAUUACGUCUUAAAAUAGCUAGGAGAAAGGCCGCAGAAUUUGCUGACGUUCUAACGUCCUUUAUAAAUAACAGUGACUGUCACGGAGGGGAAGCAGGAGUGGUCGGAAGAAGAGAACUGGUUCAGAGGGACUUCGGCCUAUACAGACAGCCAGCUGCCCACACACAGUACACAAAGGUGAUGACCAGCUGAGAAAAAAAUGGACCCCCCCCCUUUCUGAACAGCCCCCCAGGAAUUAACACGGAAGUGAUUCGGAGCUCUGCACUAUUCUGCUCGGCCCUUACGCGGCUGUGCAGCGUGGAGACAGCCCGGAGAGCCGACACCGUCUGGAACUGCGGCGUCCAGGGCCGGGACCGGGCAGACUAACAGCAGCUCCCGCGCCUGGAGCUCCCUCCCUUCUCCCGCAGGCCCCAGCAGCGAUCCGGAGGGGCAGGAGGCGGAGCCAUAGCGCUAGGCACCGGCGCGCAGGGUAGCGAACUGCUCCUCAUUAACGUAGCCCCGGCGCUAACCGCGCUGCCUUUGCGCCCCUGGGAGCUCGGGGAGAGCUCGCGCCGGAUGCGCCCCCUGGGGCUGGGCGGCUCCACACCGCCCCCAGCGCAAGGCUGUGACUACGGAGCACAAGCGAGCUCGCGCCCUUCCGCGGCAGUAGCAAUGCCGAGCUUCACCCCGGCAUCCAAACCAAACACACACUCGCUAAGGUCCGUUAACAAGGCAGCGGCUGGAAGGUGCCGGGAAAAACACAGAGGCGUUUGCGAUGAGAGCGGCUCCGAGCGCGGUUUAACUACCCGGGGAACAGGGUUGUUGUCCCUCGAGCACUUGCAAUCGGCUGUGCCACUUAUCGGAGCACUGCGCGAGGCCUCCUCCCGAGCCGCACCCAGGGCCGGGGGAAACCCGGGAACCGUCGCUCGGGCCUGUGCUUGGAGCCACCGCGCGCUCCUCGGAGCCGGCUGCUCGGCCCGUUCGAGCUGCCUGCUGCCGGCCAGUCGGUGUGCGCUGGGGGGGGGGUCCAGGCCGUGCAAUGGGCGGCUCGCCCAGCGGGCUCCCUACCCCGCCAGAAGGACGUGUGCCAAGGGCGCUCUGCCCUCUCCCGCCUGCAAAGGUACAAGAUUCUUCACAGAGGGGUGUGGAGAGUAGCACGCAGCACCCCCGGGACCUGCUC